UUAAUUGUUCACCCUCAGAUAAAAUCCAGGAGGUUUUGAAAGGCCACUCUGCGGGCACUGGCCGAGGACCAGCCCCGCCAGAGCAACUUGGUUUUUCAGUACAAGAGUUGGAGAUGGGGCCUAAAAGACCCUUACUCGAUAAUGAUCCUUCCGCAGGUUCACCUACGGAAA
rnacentral:misc_RNA from 1 species